GUGAACGCUGGCGGUAGGCCUAACACAUGCAAGUCGAACGGCAGCACAGUAAGAGCUUGCUCUUACGGGUGGCGAGUGGCGGACGGGUGCGGAAUACAUCGGAAUCUACUUUUUCGUGGGGGAUAACGUAGGGAAACUUACGCUAAUACCGCAUACGACCUACGGGUGAAAGCAGGGGAUCUUCGGACCUUGCGCGAUUGAAUGAGCCGAUGUCGGAUUAGCUAGUUGGCGGGGUAAAGGCCCACCAAGGCGACGAUCCGUAGCUGGUCUGAGAGGAUGAUCAGCCACACUGGAACUGAGACACGGUCCAGACUCCUACGGGAGGCAGCAGUGGGGAAUAUUGGACAAUGGGCGCAAGCCUGAUCCAGCCAUACCGCGUGGGUGAAGAAGGCCUUCGGGUUGUAAAGCCCUUUUGUUGGGAAAGAAAAGCAGCAGGUUAAUACCCCGCUGUUCUGACGGUACCCAAAGAAUAAGCACCGGCUAACUUCGUG
rnacentral:rRNA from 1 species